UUUUGAAGUCUUGCUUCUCCUGCCCCACGUUACAUUCUAAUUUGUUAUUCAGCUGUGCAGACUUCAAACACCGAUAUGUAGUGAGUCAGGUUUAUUCAUCAUUACCUUCUUGAUAGGCUCCGUCUGCCAUUACUAGGUGAAGUAUUUUGGCAUACAGGUGUUUGUGUUCAUUUCCAAGAAUAGUCUGAACAAUGGUUGAACAAAUAUCAAUAUUUUCAUCUUCAUCUUCAUGUAUAGCCUGGGAGAAAGGACAAUCCAUGUUGCCAAAAUUAAAAUGGGUAUAGAAUUAAAUAGUUCAUAUUUAUUAAAUGCAAUUCAUGGUUAAAUCAAAAAAGUUUUCCUGUUUAAUCCACUGGUAUGGCAUUUUCUCUGUUAAUAUUUUAGUGUGUUGAAACAGAGUAGAAGACUAAAGAAAUAAGCAUUGAUUCUAGUCACACAAUGCAAUUAGUUACUGGCACAGUAAACAGCCCUAGGUACUUGUUUCUUAAAAUAAUUUCCACUUGAGGUUAUUCCACAAACCUUUAUUUUCUCAUAAACCUCAAUGAAUUUAUCAAAGCCUAUUUCCCGCUCAAGGUUGUAUCUCAACUCCUCCAAAUGGCUGAAAAUACUAUCACAUUCUUCACAUUCACUGGCAAUCUCUCCAUCACUAUUAUCUGUAAAGAAAGAAAACAACAGUAAAAACCCCUCAGUUUUCCUACAUUCUUAAUGUUUCCAUGUCCCUAAACUUGAUAUCCACACAGACCUCUAAAUGUAAUGAAAGCAAGUAAGCUCAGGAGCACUAGGCGGUUUUGGCAGAUGUUCUGAACAACCUGCAAGGAAAUAGGAACAGUCCCUUUCUUGACAGCAGAGAAAUUCUGAAUCCCAAAUGGGAAGCAUCUAGCGGUCUCCUCUAAAACUCCACUCUGUCAGUUAGCCAUAAGGGUAUUCAUACUGAAGGAAAGCAAGGUAUGGUCUUAAAGCAGACUUCUAUUUAGCAAAGCAACGUUAGUAGGUCAAGUUCCAUAUAACCAUUCCACAUAUGUUGGGGAUGGAACUGAUGCAGGGUUCAGUGGCUGUGCCACGUCAGGGAGAAGAGCUCCCUAAUGAAGCAGCUGUCUUCUAGCAGAAGAUACGGACAUGUAUAUUAAGAAUAAAUUAUUUAAUUUCUGCACUGAGAUGCAUCUUGUUCCAUGGAGCAAGUCUAAAAACCCAGUACGAAUUUAGCUACAAAGUUCCUCAUUCUUUUAUGAGUGCACCUCCUUUGUGUAGCAAAUUCAGUAUGCCAUCUGGUGCAAUAAGAUAUGCGAGAGAAAUCAAGAUGAUUUUGCUUAUAGGCUACAGAAACCUUACAAAUAGGUUUGUAAUUGUCAAACGUUAGGUGAGUUUAACAAAAAAAGGAUCUAUUUAAAAAUACACGAUAGAAUCCCUGUGUAAAAUCCUAUUAUAAAAUGCAAACUGCUUUUGCCCAAGAAAAAUACUUCCUUAAAUAAGUAUUUGAAUUAUGAAAGGACUUAUCUACCCAGGGAAAAAUAUACAACUUUUUAGAUUUCAGAUCUUAUAUUACCAAAUCUUUAAAAAAAUACAUAGUAUUUCCUGGUAGGUCACAGACUUUCUGAGUUAGUAUUAAGCCUCUACUAGUUUCCAUUCCUAUAUAUGACUAGUGUAAGUUAUAAUCCUGACCAAAUCAUAUCCCUGAUUCAAGUAUCAACACUCACAUCAACAAGAAAUUAUCAUUGAAAUGAAAAGUUGUAUAUGGGUUAAAAACUCAUUAGAUAUAACUUCUAAUCUUGUAUUUAACUUCUGGAUCUUGAACAGAUUUGGUUUCAAGUUCUGUCUGUUCCUCUGAGUUUUGAAAGUCUUCCUCCCACCCCCAACAAUGAAACCUGCAAUUCUUAUGAAACAUCAUGAAUCUAGAAGGUGGGACACUGACACCAAAUACCAUAACGCUUGCAACAACAGAAUCACAGAAACAGAUAGUAUUGUAUGUUAUCGGUGUGUAACAUCAGCACUGUCAAAAAAUGAUGAUGGUAUUACCCAAGUUUAUUUUACCUUAAAAUACUUAUUGGAAUGUAUUAUAUCAAUAAUAUCUAACAGGUAUAUUCACAGGUUUUAAAUUUGUUUGAAAUGGUCUUCAACAAAGCAAAGUUACACAAAAGCUACAUUUUAGAUUAGUUAUUGAUUUUGUACAUCUUUAUAUAUCUAUACUUCUAAGUGUACUUUGUUCUACAGGAGUAGUAAAAUACUUAUAUUUCAACCAGUAUUUAAAAAACAGAACUGAGACUUCAGGACACCAUGGUGUAUAAUAGCUAAUUUAAAAUGCUUAAAAGCAGUAAUAAAUUUUUCUGUCUCAUUUUUAGUUUGACUGCAUUAAUAGCUAUUUUGGGCUAAGGACAAGUUUAAUAAUUCCACGUUCCUUUUGACUGCCUGUUAAAUUAAUUGUAAUGUAAGCUGGAUCCCAGAUACUCCAGUCAUGUCAGUUGCUAUUUCUUUUUCACUCUUAUAUUGCAGUCAUGAUUUAUUCAAAACAUACGAUGUGCACAGUCUUUGAUCUUCCUUGAAGACAAGUUUUAGACAAAUAGAGAAAAAGUGAUUUAUAAUCACUGCCUAACAAAUAGCCAACAUUUGUAACACUGAAUGUUGCUUAGAUGUUGACCAUAACAUUCAGAAAGUCUAAAUAUUAUCUGAUUUUUUUAAAACUUCUGUAAAAAACUAUUAAUUAGAACUUUAUUUCAUUGUAAGUAUACAAUGUAAAAACAUUAUUCUGUGUUUGAAUUGUUAACAACAAUAAAUAACUUAUAAAACAAA